rnacentral:rRNA from 1 species
AGUGUUCAAUAGAACUGUGGUAGGUGAGUAAUGUCCCCUACUAGAAAGGAGAGGGCAAGGCUGGUGCCAGCCGCCGCGGUAAAACCAGCCCUUCAAGUGGUCGGGAUAAUUAUUGGGCUUAAAGUGUCCGUAGCCGGUUUAGUAAGUUCCUGGUAAAAUCGGGUAGCUUAACUAUCUGCAUGCUAGGAAUACUGCUAUACUAGAGGGCGGGAGAGGUCUGAGGUACUACAGGGGUAGGGGUGAAAUCUUAUAAUCCUUGUAGGACCACCAGUGGCGAAGGCGUCAGACUGGAACGCGCCUGACGGUGAGGGACGAAAGCCAGGGGAGCGAACCGGAUUAGAUACCCGGGUAGUCCUGGCCGUAAACGAUGCAUACUAGGUGAUGGUACGGCCAUGAGCCGUAUCAGUGCCGUAGGGAAACCGUUAAGUGU